rnacentral:lncRNA from 1 species
UGAAGAGUGUACGUGCCUGAGUUCCUCCUUUAUUUUUCAUAAGGUCCACAAAGACAGAUUCCUGUUAUGUGCAUUACUGGCAUGCAGGACAACCUUUGGAAGGCUUUCCUCCCUAGAACAGAAUUUGACUUGAGAUAAACCUUUCAGUGGAAAAAUAGGAGGGCACGAACUAUCUUUUCAGAUAUACUUCUGUCUGUGUCAUCAAUGCCUUUUUUUGCACUCACGACAUCAUCUCUUUCAUACUGGACUCCUUUUUGGGCAUCACAGCUAUGAACUGCUGGCUUUGCGUAUCAAACUGCAGAGAGGCUUCCAUAGCCAUGGACCUUACCAGCGCAGAGCACAACAUCCAUACUUAGUCCUGUACUUCUAGUAAAGUCAACUUAGAUAUGAGGUGCAUGUUUCCAUGCUGAAGAACUCUCUACCCAUCUUUUAAGUGCACAUGGAUUAAUCUCAUCAGUUGCUCAGUCUGGAUUUGAUUGAACACCAACACAUUUGUUCAUCUGCUGGAAGAGGAAUCCUUUGACCGGGUUUUGACCUGAAAUCUGACACAAAUCUGUUUGUUUACUUAUCUGAAGCUGAUUAAUGUCAUUAUUGAUUGCUGCAGUUUGUUUACUGCAGCUACAAUGUCACAGGUUAAUUCUACUUGCUGUGGUCUUAACACCAUAUCUCCUAAAUUAUUGACUUUUGUGCAUGCUACUCCUUCAUUUGUUUACUCACAGUAAUAAAUCUUCAACUUUGUCUAAAACUAAACA